rnacentral:tRNA from 1 species
CAAGGUGUAGUUUUAUUAAAAUUUUAAUUUUGGAGAUUAAAGAAGGGGUUAUUUCCUUACCUUGA